rnacentral:rRNA from 1 species
AACAGCCGCGGUAAUUCCAGCUCCAAUAGCGUAUAUUAAAGUUGUUGCAGUUAAAAAGCUCGUAGUUGAAUUUCGGGAUUGACACAUCGGUCGUGCCUUAAGGGGUAUGAACUGGUGUAGUCAAUUUCUCACCUUCUGGAGAACCGCGAUGCCCUUAAUUGGGUGUCGCGGGGAACCAGGACCUUUACUUUGAAAAAUUAGAGUGUUUAAAGCAGGCAUCUUGCUUGAAUACAUUAGCAUGGAAUAAUAAAAUAGGACGGCAUGAUUCUAUUUUGUUGGUUUCUAGGAUCACCGUAAUGAUUAAUAGGGAUAGUUGGGGGCAUUAGUAUUCAAUUGUCAGAGGUGAAAUUCUUGGAUUUAUUGAAGACUAACUACUGCGAAAGCAUUUGCCAAGGAUGUUUUCAUUAAUCAAGAACGAAAGUUAGGGG